UCCUCAAUAGUCCAGUGUCAUGAUAGGUUCCUCUUACGCACUUGGCUGAGGUGCGAUUCCCCGUUGGGGAA